AUGGGCGGCAUUGCUGCUGGUCGAUGCCGGAUCAGUGGCCUGGCCUUGCUCGUCUGCGCCGUGCUCUUGUCGGCGACGAUGGCGAACGGCAUCAGGACUGGGGCAGUUGGUGGCACGGGUGCUCCUGGUCCGGCUGCUGCCGCGGCACAGGCUGCCACCCUAGCUGCGGCUCCUCCCGUCGCUGCCGCUGCAACGACGCCACCUUCGGAGGGAGCUGCAUUGGAGGAUCCAUACAAGAACAGCAAGAGGAAGGUGCCGAACGGGCCCGAUCCGAUUCACAAUCGGAGAGCCAGAUGGGGAGACGCACCGGCAAGGAGAGUGUAA
rnacentral:rRNA from 1 species